GGCUAAUACCGCAUAACGUCGCAAGACCAAAGAGGGGGACCUUCGGGCCUCUUGCCAUCAGAUGUGCCCAGAUGGGAUUAGCUUGUUGGUGAGGUAACGGCUCACCAAGGCGACGAUCCCUAGCUGGUCUGAGAGGAUGACCAGCCACACUGGAACUGAGACACGGUCCAGACUCCUACGGGAGGCAGCAGUGGGGAAUAUUGCACAAUGGGCGCAAGCCUGAUGCAGCCAUGCCGCGUGUAUGAAGAAGGCCUUCGGGUUGUAAAGUACUUUCAGCGGGGAGGAAGGUGUUGUGGUUAAUAACCGCAGCAAUUGACGUUACCCGCAGAAGAAGCACCGGCUAACUCCGUGCCAGCAGCCGCGGUAAUACGGAGG
rnacentral:rRNA from 1 species